AACCGCAAAAGCAGUGCUCAGGGACCAGCCUCUGUGCCUUGACAAGAACCAGUUUAUUUGGAGUAAGGCAGCUGCUGGCACAAGCGGGAAGGGGGCUGGUGGGUGUUUUCCUGUCUGUCAUCUGCAGUCCUUCAGCCCCAGGAGAGCAGGCAGCGACCCUGCUAGUCUCCACAGGCCACAGAGCUGCACACGCAGUGGCUGAACACCUGCAGGGUGAGUACGAGCCGCUGGCCAGNNNNNNNNNNGUGAGUACGAGCCGCUGGCCAGGCGUGCUGGGGUCGGGGCAGGGCAGCUCCAGCUGCUGCUCAUAGGAGUGGAGGGGGCGGCAGCAGCUGCAGCGGGUGUCCACCUGCUGGGUGAUGAUGUUGAAGCUGCCGAGAAGUCAAGACAGAGCAGGGUCAUGACUGCUGCAGGGGCAUAAGGCCCCUCCCUCCCCAGGGCAGCUGCUCCACAGAGGCCUGGACCUCCCCGCUGAGCUCCCGGCUCACAGGGGCCAGGGCGGUGUUGGGCAGAUGGAGCGCAGAGUGGCUCACCUGAUGGGGCAGCAGGCGCCUGGGUGGGGUGCCCGAACCUCUCUGGGGUGGG
rnacentral:lncRNA from 1 species